rnacentral:rRNA from 1 species
AUAGUGUAUAUUCACGUUGCUGCAGUUAAAACGCUCGUAGUCGGAGUGUGGGAGCUGGAGGGCAUGGGCCGCGGAGCAAUCUGCGUGCCCGCAUGUGCCUUCCCCCCAAGCAUUCCUGGGAGUGGCUCGCUUCUUCGGAGGCGUGUCAGUGUCCAGGACGUUUACCUUGAAAAAAUUAGAGUGUUCAAAGCAGGCAUUUUGCUUGAAUAUAUUAGCAUGGAAUAAUGGAAUAGGACCCUGGGUCUUGUUUUGUUGGCUUUACUUGGCCGCGGGUAAUGAUUAAUAGGAGCAGUUGGGGGCAUUUGAACUGGGCGGUUAGAGGUGAAAUUCUUGGAUCCGCCCAAGUCAGACUAGUG